UGCAUCAUUUUUUAAAGCUGUUGGACAGAGGAAAGCUUUGUUGUUUGAGGUUCAUCUCUAAUAGAACCAAUCGUAGGGGGUGAAAGGACAGAGUUAGUCCUCAGAUACAGAGAUCAGGUCUGACUCCUGGAAGACCAGGGAUAUUGUGGAAAACACAGAACUGGGUGGAGAGAGACUGCAAAAAUGAGACUGGUUUUAACCAUGGUGAACAAAUGGCUUAAGACAGGUCUGUAGAUCAACUCAUUUAGAUGGCAAAACCAGACAAGUGUUCAGGCACAAAAGCCUGCCUUCAGGGAUGAAAUUGGAACAAACUUCAAGGCAGAUACAGUCCGUGAUGUUUCUGCUGACAGAGAACAAUUUUCGACCCAUCUGUUCAAGCAGCAAGAGACCUUUCUUAUAACUUUAGGUGGUCACGGAUUGCCGUGCUCAGCCUGUGAAGGGCAGUGUGACCAGAGGGGGGAAAAGACUUUCCCGGAGACGCACAGCGCCGGCACAGAUAGCCCAGCUCCUCACUCAGAACGCUUUAUUUCUCCCAUUUGUCAGUUUGUGCUGCUUUGACUGCAUCCUCUAUCCAAUAAUCAUGGGAACUAAACCUCUCUCUCUGAAGGCAUGUCUAUCCCAUCCCCGGUUUUGAGGUAAUAUUACUGAAACUCGGAGGAGGCGAAGACCACAGAGAGGUUUGCUGAGUGUGCUGCUGUCAGCCGGCUUCUGGUUUUGUACACUUUGAUUCAGUUUGGUAGGCAGCUUAGCAAAUCUCCACGGCAACCCCAUGUGUACCAUAAAAUUGUGAAUUAUCUUGUUUAGAAGAGGUUCAUUAGGAAGAUUAAUGAGGUAUUAUUUUUCUCUCAUUCAAUGUCCUGAUACAGAGGGGGCACAGUAAUUUUCCCAGCUGUGCACAGCAGCAAUUGGUCCUCCCCAGGGUCCCCAGCAUCACUGCACUGUGAUCAGUUAAACUGCUCAGCCUUUGGAAGUGUUAUUUGUCAGCUUAAUUAGCCCUAAAGGAAGCACUUGUUUUAAAAUAAGACAACAGUUUUGUUUUUCAGUAUGAGAAGGACAUAAUGUUGUUCGCAGUGGCAACUUGU